rnacentral:lncRNA from 1 species
AGCCCGAAAACUUGAGGAUAACAAGAUUAGGAUCCAGACAGGUUGGGCUUCACGCCAGGAUGUCGAAAACGAAGCCCUAGCCCAAGAAAGACCAACGUGGAAACUGUCAUUUGGGCUUCAGGGAUCAGCCCAUAAUUUUUGUUGGGUCAAGGGAUUAAAAACACACCCACGUGACUACCUCAGCUUUGAAAAGUCAGCAAUUCCAACUAAGUUUAAAAUAUGAGAGGGACAUCUCUGAAACACUGCCAACAGAAGAUCAAAAUCCAUCUGUGUUCGAGAUUUUGCUCCAAAUCGAUACACCAUCUUCCAAGGAAUUCACGGGUCACGCCUUCUAAAUUAGAACGGGAGACAGGGAGUUGUUCAGAAAAUACAAAAGAAAACCAACCGCCAUAACAUUUAGCCCACACAGACGGUGGCGUUGGUUGAAAUAGAAAGCUGCCACCCAGGAAACCAGGGAAGGGACUGCCUUAGGAGGUGACUACUGAGAGCCUAUCUGCCAUGAUUGAUAAAAAUCCCUUUUACUUUACAUUAUAGGAGAUCUUUUUACCGCCCAUUAUUAAAAUUUAAACAAGAACCACCUCCCUUAGAGGGUCUCUUAUAAAAAAAAAAAAAGAAAUAGGCAAAGAAGGAGACUCAAUUCAUCAAUCACUCAAAAAAACAACAAUGAGAAAACAACCAAAAGCUCACUUGGAUUCCAAGAGAAACCAGCUUUAGAUCAGAAUUCCAAAGCUCAAACUUAGAAAAUAAGUCUUCUAAAAUGAGAUCUCUCUCGUUACAAAUUUGGUUCAGCAAAAGCCAAGAAUAGCCACUUCUGCCCCUUCAAACUGAAGAAGCUGCAAUUCUGCCCACUCAAAAGCCUCACGAAGCGUGAAGCAAACAUAAAGCUCUGCCAAAAUCG